rnacentral:rRNA from 1 species
GACGAACGCUGGCGGCGUGCCUAAUACAUGCCAGUUGAGCGCUGAAGGUUGGUACUUGUACCGACUGGAUGAGCAGCGAACGGGUGAGUAACGCGUGGGGAAUCUGCCUUUGAGCGGGGGACAACAUUUGGAAACGAAUGCUAAUACCGCAUAAAAACUUUAAACACAAGUUUUAAGUUUGAAAGAUGCAAUUGCAUCACUCAAAGAUGAUCCCGCGUUGUAUUAGCUAGUUGGUGAGGUAAAGGCUCACCAAGGCGAUGAUACAUAGCCGACCUGAGAGGGUGAUCGGCCACAUUGGGACUGAGACACGGCCCAAACUCCUUCGGGAGGCAGCAGUAGGGAAUCUUCGGCAAUGGACGAAAGUCUGACCGAGCAACGCCGCGUGAGUGAAGAAGGGUUUCGGAUCGUAAAACUCUGUUGGUAGAGAAGAACGUUGGUGAGAGUGGAAAGCUCAUCAAGUGACGGUAACUACCCAGAAAGGGACGGCUAACUACGUG